rnacentral:rRNA from 1 species
AGGGAAUCUUCCACAAUGGACGAAAGUCUGAUGGAGCAACGCCGCGUGAGUGAUGAAGGUUUUCGGAUCGUAAAACUCUGUUGUAAGGGAAGAACCAGUACGUCAGGCAAUGGACGUACCUUGACGGUACCUUAUUAGAAAGCCACGGCUAACUACGUGCCAGCAGCCGCGGUAAUACGUAGGGGGCGAGCGUUGUCCGGAAUUAUUGGGCGUAAAGGGUGCGUAGGCGGCUGAACAAGUCAGAUGUGAAAGGUUAAGGCUUAACUUUAAUAAGCAUAUGAAACUGUUCAGCUUGAGUUAAGGAGAGGGGAGUGGAAUUCCUAGUGUAGCGGUGAAAUGCGUAGAUAUUAGGAGGAAUACCAGUGGCGAAGGCGACUCUCUGGACUUAAACUGACGCUGAGGCACGAAAGCGUGGGGAGCAAACA